rnacentral:rRNA from 1 species
GACGAACGCUGGCGGCGUGCCUAAUACAUGCAAGUAGAACGCUGAAGGAGGAGCUUGCUUCUCUGGAUGAGUUGCGAACGGGUGAGUAACGCGUAGGUAACCUGCCUGGUAGCGGGGGAUAACUAUUGGAAACGAUAGCUAAUACCGCAUAAGAGUAGAUGUUGCAUGACAUUUGCUUAAAAGGUGCAAUUGCAUCACUACCAGAUGGACCUGCGGUGUAUUAGCUAGUUGGUGGGGUAACGGCUUACCAAGGCGACGAUACAUAGCCGACCUGAGAGGGGGAGCGGCCACACUGGGACUGGGACACGGCCCAGACUCCUACGGGAGGCAGCAGUAGGGGAUCUUCGGCAAUGGACGGAAGUCUGACCGAGCAACGCCGCGUGAGUGAAGGAGGUUUUCGGAUCGUAAAGCUCUGUUGUAAGAGAAGAACGAGUGUGAGAGUGGAAAGUUCACACUGUGACGGUAUCUUACCAGAAAGGGACGGCUAACUACGUG